CAGAGGGGAAGUGAAUGACCAACUGGGUAGGCUGAUGAAUAUUUUCCUGGUAAAUGCAUAACUUUCCCCACAACUGUGAUGCUUUAUCCUUUGACAUUAAGAAUGCUGUUUGCAGAAGUAACAUUCCUUUGAACACUCAGCUUUCUGAAAUGGUGUCCCACCGCAAGGACUGGAGAAGGCGCCCAUUGCUAGUUGCUUCCUGGAGGAAUUUCCCAAAAUAAAAGUGCCUAUCCACAAAUCCUUCUCCUGAGGCUGCUUUUUUGGAGAAUUCAAGUUAAGGAAGAUUUCUAUUGGAUCAGUAUAUGUACAUGAAGUUCACUUUACUCUUCAUUCCCAGUGAAAAUGCUUUGGCAAUUUUGAGACUUUACUGAAGACUCUAAGGAGGACCUGUAUCUGUUGGGAUCCUCAGGGCAAGCCACAGAAACAAGCUUUGGAUACUAGAAGCAGAAAAUGGAGAUAUUGAAGACUAUUGUGGAGUUUACUGUGAGCCA
rnacentral:lncRNA from 10 species